rnacentral:misc_RNA from 1 species
GAGGGAAGACACAUCUGGUCAUUUUAAUAUAUUUGUUGGUGAUCUCAGCCCUGAGGUUACUGAUGCUACAUUGUUUGCAUGCUUUUCUGUUUACCCCAGUUGUUCGGAUGCAAGGGUUAUGUGGGACCAGAAAACUGGACGUUCGAGGGGUUAUGGUUUUGUUGCUUUUCGGAACGAGCAGGACGCUCAAAGUGCAAUUAAUGACAUAAAUGGAAAGUGGCUUGGGAGUCGACAGAUUAGGUGUAAUUGGGCCACAAAAGGUGCUAAUUCUGGCGAUGACAAACAGAGUUCAGAUUCCAGAAGUGUUGUAGAGCUUACAUCUGGCACUUCAGAUGGUGGUCAAGAGAAAUCCAAUGAGGACGCACCUGAGAACAAUCCUCAAUACACAACCGUAUAUGUGGGAAAUCUUGCUCCUGAGGUUACCUCAGUUGAUCUCCACCGUUAUUUUCAUGCCCUUGGUGCUGGAACAAUUGAAGAUGUUAGGGUACAACGGGAUAAAGGUUUUGGGUUUGUGAGAUAUAGCACUCAUGCUGAAGCAGCUUUAGCCAUCCAAAUG